AUGUUGAGAGAGUUAACUAACUCUGAGAUUCCUUGUAAUUGUGGAGGUCAUUUGGAGUAUUUAAGGGCGGUUUUGGAGUUUUGGGUUUCUGCAAGAGAUUUGAGUCGCGCCGGUUCAUGUUCUUCUGGGUUUGUCGGUGUUGGUGCCAUUGGAACAUGGGUUUUAGAUUUGGGGAAAAGGACGUGGAUGUAUUUUGGAUGGCAUAUUCUAAGGAAAGGUGUUUUGGACAGCAAAGGUGUUUUGGACAGCAAAUUCUAA